rnacentral:rRNA from 1 species
CUUUCACUCUGGCGGCAGGCCUAACACAUGCAAGUCGAACGGUAGCACAGAGAGCUUGCUCUCGGGUGACGAGUGGCGGACGGGUGAGUAAUGUCUGGGAAACUGCCCGAUGGAGGGGGAUAACUACUGGAAACGGUAGCUAAUACCGCAUAACGUCUUCGGACCAAAGUGGGGGACCUUCGGGCCUCACACCAUCGGAUGUGCCCAGAUGGGAUUAGCUAGUAGGUGGGGUAAUGGCUCACCUAGGCGACGAUCCCUAGCUGGUCUGAGAGGAUGACCAGCCACACUGGAACUGAGACACGGUCCAGACUCCUACGGGAGGCAGCAGUGGGGAAUAUUGCACAAUGGGCGCAAGCCUGAUGCAGCCAUGCCGCGUGUAUGAAGAAGGCCUUCGGGUUGUAAAGUACUUUCAGCGGGGAGGAAGGCGAUGAGGUUAAUAACCGCAUCGAUUGACGUUACCCGCAGAAGAAGCACCGGCUAACUCCGUG